UAUUCUAGAAACAGUAUUUUUAUAGUCACAUGACUAAAUCACCCAUCUUGACUGUUAUCAAACCUAAAUGAUUCAGGAUAUGUAAGUGUGUGUGUGUAUAUAUAUCUAUAUAUAUAUACAUAUAUAUAGAUACACACACUCAGAUAAAAGACUAUCAGUUCAUCAGACUUUGGGGUUUGGUUUUGGCUACAAUGUAUCUAUCUGCAUGCAUGUGCAAUCACAUACACUUGCACACGGAUUAAUGUGCAUAUGCACACACACAAACACGUAUGCGUGUACACUGUAUGAUUGUGCUUAAGAAUAAACUGUCCUUACUUUGGAGAAGGAAUUUUAGGAUGAGCGAGGUGAGUGUUGUCUCGUAAGCAGGCAUGUUGACCAUGUGCAAUAUUUCUAAACAGCAACAAUGACAAAAAAAAAAAAAAACAAAUAUUGAAAAACAUUAAAGACCUAACACAAUG